rnacentral:lncRNA from 1 species
GGUAUUGUGCUCUCUACUCACAUUUACAUUCUUAAUUCUUUCAUCUUUCCUUUAAAUUUGCAUCGUUGGGUUUAUCAUGACUCUAACAUAAGGUAUGUAUUUCUUUUCUAACUAUCAUAUAAAUAUUUGAUGUGAAACAUUAGAUGUAGGACACUAAUUGUGUUUUUAUCCUAUUAUUUAGUUUGCAUUUACAUUCACAUAUAUUUGUUAUUAUGACAUAUAUAAAUACUAGUUUUGUAGAUCUCCUUCGUAAUUUUGAGGUAAGAUUUUCUUUGCCAAAUAAUGAUAGAUUUGAGAUAGAUAAUGACUUUGGAUUUGAUAGUCCAAACAUCGACUCCAAUAGUGAGUCAUUAAGUAAUUUUAAGGAAGACUAUGAUGGUGUAAGUGAGAUUUCGGUUGUGGCCUUUAUGAAUGAUGUUGGAAAUCUAGGAGACGGUGACAUAGUAGAUUUAGAGGACAACGUUCAUAUAGAUCUUUUGAAUAAAUUUGAAAACAAAAUUAGGCUCAUAAUAGCAAUACUUUAGUCUAUCGCCCAAAAUAGAGAGUAUAAAGUGUAUGAAAGUAAAAAUAACAAAUUGGUAGCAAAAUAUAAUACUAUAGGAGAUCAAGGAUAAAGCUUUAAUUCUAUGCACCAUACACCACCUUGUCAAUGGUAUAUGCGUUCAAUUAAGAAACAAAACCGUCAUAUGUGACAUAUUACGUGUUGGGUUGAUGCACAUCAUUGUUUUGGAUCUUGUAUUGCCAAUAAUAACAAGAAUUUUAAAUCAUAUAACUAUUUUAUCACACAUCGUCCACUCAAUUCGAAAAGAUGUUGCUUAUCAGCUGAAACACAUGCAAUCAGAUAUUAAAAAUAGUCUAAAUAUUAAUGUUUCUUACUAGAAGGCAUGGCAUGGCGUGGUAGUAGACAAGCAAUAGAGACUAUUUAUGGAACAUUGGAAAGUAUUUUUGUUGAGUUUCCAAAUACAUUUCAGCUUUGCAAGCUUCAAACCCCGAUACAAUUGUGCAGUGGUUCCAUAACCCAAAUGUCUCGCCACAUUUGGCAAUGUUCAAGUAUGUUUUUUGGGCUUUUGGACCGGCUAUUAAUGCAUUUCAUCUAUGUCGACCUGUUAUUUCUAACGAAAGUGUUUUUUAGAGUUGUCACAGUGUUACAAAUAAAUGACAGAGGAGGAAAUACACAUAUUGUCCAAUAUUUUCAACAUACGUGUACAUAUGGUAAGCAGCAAAUGAAAAGAUUUUCAUGUUCACAUGCAAUUGCAGUUUGCUGAUAUAGAAGGGAUAAUCCUCUUUCCGUAUAUGAAUGAUGUAUACAUUAGUAUGAUGUACAAACAACAAUAUAACGUUGGUUUUGUACAACUUACUCGUUAUAGGUAUUUAUUGGUUUCAAAUUGGGUGAUUUAAGCGGGUUACUAAAAACUGUAUGUAUGUCGAGGUCGGAGGCCUGAAAACCGAAUUUGCAAUGAGAUGGACACUCUCAUCCUGAUGAACCUCAGAAAUAUGGACUUCGCACUAUCAACCAGGCCAUAAUAGAAAAAAUAAUUCAAGUUUUCAUCCACGAUUCCAUGUGACAUAAACUGUAAUUUUUUACUGAUCUCGUU